GGCCUUUUGAGUAUGAUUUAAGGUCUAGCCUGCCCAAUGAUAAAAAAAUUUAAUGGCCGCAGUAUAUUGACUGUGCAAAGGUAGCAUAAUCAUUAGUUUUUUAAUUGAAAGCUGGUAUGAAAGGUUUGAUGAAAAAAAGGCUGUCUCUAUUUAAAAUUUUAGAAAUUUAUUUUUAAGUUAAAAAGCUUAAAUUUAUAUUGAAGACGAGAAGACCCUGUAGAGUUUGAUUUAUAUGUAAAUAAAUAAAAUUUAGUAUUUAAAAUUUUAUUUUUAUAUAAAUUUAGUUGGGGUGAUUGAAAAAUUUAUGAAACUUUUUUUAUAUUUUUACAUUUAUUUAUGAUUUUAUGAUCCUUUAUUAGAUUAUAAGAUAAAAUUACCUUAGGGAUAACAGCGUAAUUUUUUUUAGAGUUCUUAUCGAAUAAAAAGAUUGCGACCUCGAUGUUGGAUUAAAAUUAAAUUUUUGGUGAAGAAGCUAAAAAACUAGGUCUGUUCGACCUUUAAAUUUUUACAUGAUCUGAGUUUAAACCGGUGUAAG
rnacentral:rRNA from 1 species